CAACAUGAGGUCUCAAAGUAAACAUCAUGCAAUACAUAGGUCUAAGAUGUUUAAUUCACAACUAAAACCGUCAUACUUAGUUCCAAAUAACAUCAAACUACAACAAGAAAGGGAAAGAGCUGAAUAAAACAUCAUGAGCUAAACUCGACACAACAUCAGUCAUCUGCUUUUUCUUUACCCCUAACUUGCUCAACCUGCAUAUCUGAACAAAAUGUGAGGAGUGAGACAGUCACUUCGUCUCAGCGGUUCCAUUUACCUAGAGAGUUAGCAACUAAGAGGAACAAACUAACAGUUGAUCAUUAUGUAUCAUCAUAUUCAUUCAUAACUUACAUAGCAUAUAAAUAAGUGUUUCACACAAUAAUUAUCUUGAUUCAUUUUACAUAGAUAAUCUGAGGUGAGUUUGGCUCAGAGUAUCUACCUAGUCGGCUAAACUCCCUAUCAAGGGCUAAAGCACGACUCCUUGACUCAUCUUGUCGUUACGUGGGACCCCAUCUUGAAAUCCCAACCAGAUUAUCCAAUCACUAUAUCUAGUGAUCUCUGGUACCACUAGGGUCACAACUUAAACUUAUAAUCACUUAUACAUACAUGGCUCAAAUCCAUUACAUAUACUUGAUCAACUUAUUCAUAUAUAUAUUAAAUAUAUACAAUCAGGUAGUAUCAUGAAUCUCUAGAUGUUACCACACUUCACUAUACAUAGGGGCACUUAGUGUUAGUUAUAAGUUAGCAACUAAUUAAAUAAUUUCUACCUUAUCCUAGUACUAACUCCAUCCCAUUUCUAAGUUUCAAAUUAAUGAAAAUUAAUUUAUGAUGUUAUACUAAUAAUUUUUGGGCACCUACAUUACGUAAAAUCGCACUAAAUGCGAGACAAAGCGAGCUAAGGCUGCUGCCUCGAGCGCCCCACGAUGGGUGUGGCGCGCCCGCGCAAUGGGCAGCAUCGAACCCGCAGGAAAGAAACAAAAACCAGUUCCAUUUAUGCAGAAAAUGCAGCAACCAUUCCUUCUUUUCAUGCAUAAAAUUAUAGCAAAUCAGUCCCAUUGUUAUGCAGAAAAAAAAAAUGCAGCAACCAGUCCUUUUUAUGCAUAAAAUUAUAGCAAACCAGUCCCAUUGUUAUGCAGAGAAAAAUGCAGCAACCAAUACUUCUUUUUUUUUAUGCAGAAAAUUAUAGCAAAACAGUCCCAUUUUAUGCAGAAAGAUCCAGCAAAAUAGUCUCAUUUUUAUGCAGAGAAAUAUAGUAAAACAAUCCCAUUUUUAUGCAUUUUCACCCAGAUUAAGAACUAAUGCACAUGCCCAACUUUUAACUUAUUAGUUCAACAUCAUUACAAGGGAAAAAGAGAUUAUAACUACCAUAACAUUUGGGCAAUUAAUUUAUCAUAAAGAGAAAAAUGGGGUUUUCUAAUUUUCUCUCUCUAAUCCAUAAUCUAGUUUAUGGUCUUAAUUUCUACACUACUUACAUGUUAGUUUCAGCCAUUAAAGGAGUAAUCAAUCUAUAUAGGGUGGUCUCUAAUCUAGGGAACUCACCUCAAUGAAAAGAAUUUGAUGAUGAUGAUGCUAGCUCCAAAACACAUCUUGCUUCCGCUUCCAACUUCCAGCCUUCAGUUUAAACUUGUCCCUCCAUUUUAAAAAGUCUCGGGACACAUAUAUUUAUAUAUAUAUAUGGCCUAGUCCUAUACCACUCACGCAUCCAAAAUCUUGCUGCCACCCAACCACUACACAUUUGCUUUCUAGAAUAAUACUCAUCUCAAGAAAAACAGUUCCAAAAGCAUCAGAGCACCGAAUCCAAGUACUUUACAAGUUACCAUGUUAGAAACUCAACAAUAUGGCUUCACAUAGAAUCCUUAUAUUUCUAUCUUGAAUCAUGGCUACUUGAGACAACAAGAAUAACUAUGCUAUUAUUCAUCACACCAAUUGGUUAAAAAGGAACCUUAAAUUUGAACACUCCAUAAGCUUACAAUUGAGUGAAUCAACACAUGCAUGAGAUCCCAAUUGAGAUAAAAGGCAACAACUCAAUUUCUUUAACCCAUGAGGAAGGUUUCUCGACCAAACAGAAAAAGGAACAGGAGUUAAUCACUUUCUUCCUACUCUUAUCUUCUGUUCCCAACACCUCAAAUAUUGAUUAUAUGAAGAAUUUCGUUCAUACAUGAGUUCAAAAUGAAGGAUUUGUGAGAAAGGGGGGUUUGGGGUUUCAGAUAGAUUUGUGACCAAGAGGGGAAAAGGAUAGAAACUGAGCAAAAUAUUGUUAGGAAUGGGUUC
rnacentral:lncRNA from 1 species